AAUUUUUACUAGUAAAACUUGAAAAAUAAAAAUCAUUGUAAAUUACGGUAGGACAUACAAAAACAGAUAUAAAAUGAUAGGGAAAUUUCAUAAUUUCCGAUCGACACGAGUUCAAUGAUUAGACCCAAUACUUCGAACCAUCCUCAUCAGCAUAAAAAAGCCGCCCUUAGACAGAUGAUCAAUAGAACUGGGCGAAUACCACUAACAAAAGAGGGAUGCCGGCUAAUAACGGAUACAAGAGAGAUCUGGUAGAAGAAAUCUGAAGGGAGCACAAAAACAAAAAGCCAAACAAAGCAGAAAACAAUAAUAAAAAUUGGGCGGUAUUAACCUAUACUGGAAAGUCAACGUACAAGCUAACAAAGCUGUUCCAGAAACACAACCUUCGCACAUCAUUCAGAACAAAUAACAAUGUAGGACGGAUACUACGGAACACGACAAAUCAAGAAGACCCAUUGGAUAAACAAGGAGUGUAUAAACUAGUAUACUCUGUUUUUCGAUAAAUCGACUUACCGUUGAUUUAGUAACCCUCAAACAGAUAGUUUCGAAAUUUUCUGUAAACGAAAAAUGUGUAGCUUGAUUUAUGUGCCACUUUCAAAUGCGUGUAUCUCAUCAUCUAUUUGCCGCUUUUCAAAAGUGAAAACUAGAAAGAAAGAGUGACGGUUAGUAGAAUAUUCACCGAUUAAAACUUGUAUUAUAGCUUAAAGCUUGUG